AUGUGGUUUAAUUCGAUGAUACGCGAGGACUUACCGGCUUGAAUGCAGAGACAUAGUUGAAGAUUAUGGCCGCAAGGUCUCUGUGAAGGUGCUGCAUGGUUGUCGUCAGCUCGUGCCGUGAGGUGUCGGCUUAAGUGCCAUAACGAGCGCAACCCUUAUCAUUAGUUACUAACAGGUCAUGCUGAGGACUCUAGUGAGACUGCCGUCGUAAGAUGUGAGGAAGGUGGGGAUGACGUCAAAUCAGCACGGCCCUUACGUCCGGGGCUACACACGUGUUACAAUGGGGGGUACAGAGGGCAGCUACCGGGCGACCGGAUGCCAAUCCCAAAAACCUCUCUCAGUUCGGAUCGAAGUCUGCAACCCGACUUCGUGAAGCUGGAUUCGCUAGUAAUCGCGCAUCAGCCACGGCGCGGUGAAUACGUUCCCGGGCCUU
rnacentral:rRNA from 1 species